AGAGCUCCUCCUACUCAAAAAUUCAACAUGCCUGCAUAUGAGUCUGAACCUCAACAUCAAAGUUCAACUCAAACACAGUUUCACUCUGAGGCACAAGUACCAUCACCUUAUCUUCUAUGUAUAAAUAUAUACCAAACAUGAAAGAUUUGAAAAAUGUAAUACCCAUUUGAAUAACUUUCUCUUUAAGAUCGGAAUCUUUAAACUCCUUGUUGAAAUUGCUGGCAAGAUGACGAAUACAAUAAACUGAUUUACUAUUACACCAUCUAGGCAACUCGGUACGAAGUGCACCCAACAACCCUGUACCUCUAUCUGAUAUUAUACAGAUGUUUGGUUGUGGGGUAACCAAAGUUCGAAGGUUGUAAAAAAACCACUCCCAUGCUUCCUUUGUUUCUCCUUCAACAAUGGCAAAUGCAACUGGAAAGAUACGUCUGUUACCAUCUUGUGAACUUGCUAUGAGCAACGUUCCAGUGUAUUUUCCGGUCAAAAAUGUCUCAUCUACUUGUAGAAUUGGUUUGCAAAAUGCAAACCCUUCGAUGCAUGGCUUAAAAGCCCAAAAUACUCUGUCAAGAAUGAAAGCACUUGGAUCUUCAACACCAUUUACAUAGUUACGAGAUGCUUCAUAACGAACAAUUGUACCCGGGGCAAAAUGUUGGACAGCGUUCAUCCAACGUGGUAACUCAUUGUAUGGUUCCUCCCAGUCACUAUAAAUUCUGCUCAUGGCUAAUUGCUUCGCAGCCCAAGCUUUUCUAUAAGUUACAGUAUAUCCAAAACGACUUACAGUUUCUUUCACAAGUGCCUUAAUUGGUAUACCUGGAUCUUCGGAUACCAAAUUAAUUAUACAGUUUGAAAUAAAUGAUGAGUUUAGUUUAGAGUGAUCUUGAGAAACAACAGUGGAUAAACAAGUAUGUGUUCCUAUUCUGCUCAUGGCUAAUUGCUUCGCAGUCCAAGCUUUUCUAUAAGUUACAGUAUAUCCAAAACGACUUACAAUUUCUUUCACAAGUGCCUUAAUUGGUAUACCUGGAUCUUCGGAUACCAAAUUAAUUAUACAGUUUGAAAUGAAUGAUGAGUUUAGUUUAGAGUGAUCUUGAGAAACAAUAGUGGAUACACAAGUAUGUGUUCCAUCAAUUUUUUUUAUUUCCCAAACACCACGUUUUACACUAAAAGAUGCACGAACUCGCCAUUCACAUCCUGCUCCAAAAUGUUUACAUUGAGCUACAAAUAUAUGUGGCCUUGAAAUUUUAACAACAUAGUCAAAAGAGUUAUGAAUAUGAAAUUGUUUAAUUGCAUUUAUUGUUGCUUCUUUACACUCAAAUUGCAUCCCAACAAAUAAAUCAUAUUCAUUCCUUAAGGUAGUUAAUCCUGGUCGAUAGUCACGACCAGCCUGAGAAUUAGUAUCACGAAAAAAAAAUGAUGGAGAAAUAUAUGUUAUGUUACCGUCUGGUUGACUAGUAUUAAUCUCAACAUCAUCCUCCUCAUUAACGUCAUCACAUAAGUCAAUGUCAUCCUCAUCACUGAAAUCACUAACAAUAUCUCUUAUGAUAGACAUCUACAUCAAAGAAAAAAUUAUAUAUAUCAGACAUUUCAUUAUAAUGGUAAUUAUAACAUUAAUAAUAGUUGUAGUUAUUGAAGUAAUAUAUUUACCUUAAAGAAGUAAGGAAUACAAACAAAUGACUUAGAAGAAGCAAUGAAGACAAAGUAAAAAUAAAGAAGUGAGGAAAAAUGUUGUAGUGUUUUGAUGGGUGUGGGUAGUGGUAUUUAUAUAGGUCAAGAUCAUUAAUUUUAAUUUCUUACUAACCUAAAUUCCUAUUCAUUAAUUAGUUUUGAAUAUAUUCGAAUUUCAAUAAAAUGUAUUAUAUGACACACUUUGAAUGACUAAUCCAUGUACACUCAGAUUCCAAUGCAAUGACAUAUUAAAUCUUACACCCAUUGAAUGACCAAUGCAUGCCUCUUGUGUCAUAAAAAAGCAUGCAUGCUAUGACACACACUAUUGAAGAUUCAAUGACAAGAAACAUUGAAUGACAAUUGCAUGUGCACUUCGAAAUUUGAAUUUUACAUGCAUUUGAAAAUAUAUUUAGUAUAGUUAGUGUAUUAAUUAAAUUUUCGAAUUUCACUAAUUAAGAUCAUUAAUUUUAAUUUCUUACUAACCUAAAUUCCUAUUCAUUAAUUAGUUUUGAAUAUAUUCGAAUUUCAAUAAAAUGUAUUAUAUGACACACUUUGAAUGACUAAUCCAUGUACACUCAGAUUCCAAUGCAAUGACAUAUUAAAUCUUACACCCAUUGAAUGACCAAUGCAUGCCUCUUGUGUCAUAAAAAAGCAUGCAUGCUAUGACACACACUAUUGAAGAUUCAAUGACAAGAAACAUUGAAUGACAAUUGCAUGUGCACUUCGAAAUUUGAAUUUUACAUGCAUUUGAAAAUAUAUUUAGUAUAGUUAGUGUAUUAAUUAAAUUUUCGAAUUUCACUAAUUAAGAUCAUUAAUUUUAAUUUCUUACUAACCUAAAUUCCUAUUCAUUAAUUAGUUUUGAAUAUAUUCGAAUUUCAAUAAAAUGUAUUAUAUGACACACUUUGAAUGACUAAUCCAUGUACACUCAGGUUCCAAUGCAAUGACAUAUUAAAUCUUACACCCUUUGAAUGACCAAUGCAUCCUCUUGUGUCAUAAAAAAGCAUGCAUGCUAUGACACACACUAUUGAAGAUUCAAUGACAAGAAACAUUGAAUGACAAUUGCAUGUGCACUUCGAAAUUUGAAUUUUACAUGCAUUUGAAAAUAUAUUUAGUAUAGUUAGUGUAUUAAUUAAAUUUUCGAAUUUCACUAAUUAAGAUCAUUAAUUUUAAUUUCGUAUUAACCUAAAUUCGUAUUUAUUAAUUAGUUUUAAAAAAAAUUCUAAUUUCAUUAAAAUGUAUUAUAUGACACACUAUGAAUGACUAAUCCAUGUACACUUAGAUUCCAAUGCAAUGACAUAUUAAAUCUUACACCCAUUGAAUGACCAAUGCAUGCCUCUUGUGUCAUAAAAAAGCAUGCAUGCUAUGACACACACUAUUGAAGAUUCAAUGACAAGAAACAUUGAAUGACAAUUGCAUGUGCACUUUGAAAUUUGAAAUUUGAAUUUUACAUGUAUUUGAAAAUAUUUACACCUUUUGAAUGAUAAUUACAUUUUCCUAUAAAUACCACACUCAUCUUCUCCCACUUUACACUCACACAUUCUACUCAAAUUCUCACAUUCUCUUCUAUUUUCUCCACUCUUAUAUUAUCACUCAAAGCAAUGGAAUAUUUUGGUCCAGGCCCUUUUAACACUUCUCUAUUAACACUUCAAGAAAAACAUAUAUCUACUUCUAUAUGGGAUGGUGAAGAAACUCUAUUUCGUGCUAGAUACAAUUUAUGGCAAACUCUACCUUCUGAACAAGUGUUACAAGUUAUUCGCAACACUGCUUUUGCCAACUUGUUGAAUAUUGGAGGAGCUGAAAUCAAUAAUCAUCUUCUAACAGCAAUGGUUGAGAGAUGGAGGCCAGAAACACACACUUUCCAUUUCCCUAAUGGAGAGUGCACCAUCACACUAGAAGAUGUUGCAUACCAGCUUGGAAUUCCCAUUGAUGGAAAAGCUGUUACUGGAGAUACAAGUUUGGAUUGGGGAGAUCUUUGCCAAUAGUUGUUAGGUGUUACCCUAUCAGAUAAACAAAUAAUGGGGCAAAGGGUACUACUUUCUUGGCUUGACAGCAUCUACCAAGAACUUCCAGAAGAUGCUGAUGAGGAAGUGGUAGAACAACAAGCUCGAGCAUUCAUUCUAAGAAUGAUAGGAGGAUUUCUAAUGCCAGAUACAUCAGGAUCCCGAGUCCACUUGAUGUAUUUACCUCUACUAGAUGAUCUAUCUGAGACAUUUGAAUACAGUUGGGGAUCAGCUGUAUUAGCUUGUCUAUAUCGAGCCCUUUGUCGUGCAGCAACAAUAAAGGAACAAAAAGAGGUUGGUGGAUGUCUACUACUACUUCAAUCAUGGGCAUACGACCAUAUUCCAAUUCUUGUACCAAGACUACAUCAUAACACAACACAAUUUUAUCCUUUGAUAACAAGGUAACUUUUUUAAAUCAUAUAUUAACUUAUUCAACUUAUAUACUUACUUAUUUAACAUUAUGUGCUAAUUAUUUUUAUUUCUUUUAAAAAUAUGGUCUCAACAUCUUAUUACCACAAACAUUACUGGGCAUGCAGCCAACAUCAUUUUCCAGUUUGCUCUACCAAACUCGUGUAUGGGGUACACAAGUUUGAAUUUUCUCUCUCCAAAUCUCGUGCACCCCAUGCACGAGAUCCCUUCCUAUAUUUUUUUUUUCUUUUUUUUUCUUUGCCUUGGACCGGUGUUUCCGGUCCAGGGUUUUUAAGAAUUUUGUUCUGGUUUUUGAGUUGUAUGAGUUAUAUCAAAAUUAUAGAUUAUUAUUUGUAUUAUAUUUUUUAUUUUGUAUGAUGUAAACUAAGAUUAUUCAUUCAGUUACAUGUAUCACUUUGAAACCUAAAUUGGUGAAGGUUUUUUGGAAUUUUAGAUGAGUUUUUUGUUGCAUGAGUUUUGUAUAAUUAGGGUUUUUGAUUUAUACUAUAUUUUUAUUUUGUAUGAUGUAAAAUAAUUAAAUCCAACAGCCUUCAAAAAUUCACGAGUUAGAGCUCCUCCUACUCAACAAUUAAACAUGCCUGCAUAUGAGUCUGAACCUCAACAUCAAAGUUCAACUCAAACACAGUUUCACUCUGAGGCACAAGUACCAUCACCUUAUCUUCAAGGAGAACAACCCUAUGGAGCUUUCACAACAUUUCCAACUACCUACCAUAUGGGAGAAGGUUCUCAAUAUCAACAAUCAUUGCCAUCAAUGUUUGCUACCAGUUCAAAUACACCAAUGUCGGCAUAUGGUUCACAAGGUUUUUACCGUCCUACUAUGCCAUCACAACCAUCAAUGUUUGCUACAAAUUCAAACACACCAAUGUCGGCAUAUGGUUCACAAGGUUUUUACCGUCCUACUAUGCCAUCACAACCA
rnacentral:lncRNA from 1 species